rnacentral:tRNA from 1 species
GGCCCGGUGGCAGAGUGGUGAUGCAGAGGAUUGCAAAUCCUUGCACGUCGGUUCGAUUCCGGCCCGGGCCUCCA